rnacentral:piRNA from 1 species
ACCGAGGAAUCAAUCUGCCUUCUGCUGGU